rnacentral:rRNA from 1 species
AUUGAACGCUGGCGGCAGGCCUAACACAUGCAAGUCGAGCGAGGGGCGGACGGGUGAGUAAUGCCUGGGAAUUGCCCUGGCGGGGGGGAUAACAGUUGGAAAGGACUGCUAAUACCGCAUACGUGGGGAUUGCCCAGGUGGGAUUAGCGAGUUGGUGGGGGAUGUGCUCACCAAGGCGACGGUCCCUAGCUGGUCUGCGAGGAUGGUCAGGCCCCCUGGGACUGAGACACGGUCCAGACUCCGACGGGAGGCAGGAGGGGCGAAUAUGGCACGAUGGGCGAGACCCUGAGGCAGCCGUGCCCGGUGUGUGAAGAAGGCCUUCGGGUUGUAAAGCACUUGCAGCGAGAAGGCGGUACUCCCCGAAGACGCACCUGCUAACUCCGUGCCAGCCGCCGCGGUAAUAC